UUGUGUUGCCUGAUCCCUUUUAUCUGCCUGUUCUUUCUUGUAGAAAAAACAGUUGGCACAGUACGGACAAUAAUGGUGUCUAAAUAUGUCUAAUAGCAUAGAAGGAGAAUAUGAACCAGGACACAUGGGCAGCACAUUUGGUUAAGCUGCAGCUGUUGGCUCAAGUCAUGGUCUCGGGGUCCUGGGAUCAAACCCUACAUCAGACUCCUUACUCAGCGGGGAGUCUGCUUCUCCCUCCGCCUCUGCCCCUCCCUCUGUUCAGACUCAUACUCUCUCUCUCUCUAUUACUGUG
rnacentral:lncRNA from 1 species